GACCCGUUAGCUCAGUCGGUAGAGCACCUGCCUUUUAAGCAGGGUGUCGCUGGUUCGAUC
rnacentral:tRNA from 1 species